GAAAGGCAGCAAGGAAGGAGGGAGGGAGCGAGGGGAGUCAAGGAGGAGAUAUAUGGCGAAGGAGGGAUUGAAGUGAGAUUUUUUAGCAGACACACUGCUUCACUCAAGACGUCCACGACUGCACACGCACACACUUUUCUGCUUGACAGACGCCCUCCUCUCCCGUCACAAUGUCCCUCGCCAUCUGCUCCAGCUGCUUGCUGUUCCUCUUCUUGGUGUCCCUCUCUGCUGGCGAGCCGAGGCGCACCGUUUCCGGUCAGCGCAGGGCGGCGCGCGCACCUGCCGCCAAGGUGCGUCUGGCGGGAAACUUUGCGCGGGAGCCUCACGAGGGUCGCGUGGAGGUGCUGCACAACAACACGUGGGGCACCGUGUGCGACGACGAAGUGGACAUCAACCUGGCCAACGUGGUGUGUCGAGAGCUGGGCUUCCAGGGCGGCGUCACGUGGGCGCACAGCGCCAAUUAUGGAGAAGGACAGGGUCCCAUAUGGAUGGACAAUGUUCGAUGCAACGGUUCUGAGAAGUCCCUAAAGGACUGCAAGCACAACGGCUGGGGGGUGAACGACUGCAAACACUCUGAAGACAUGGGGGUGGUGUGCACCGCGGAGCACAGGCGGGAGCAGAGGACCAGCACCCGAGACCACAGCAACGCCAUCAGCUCCAAUGGGAAUCCCUCGCCCCAGUGGCAAGGCCUCGUGGCCACCCGCAGGCACUCUGGAUACGGCUAUUAUGCGAAUGGACAUCCAUACGAAGUCCCCAGGAUCCAGAGGCAGCAACUUUACCAGGGUCACAGUAAGGUCCGAAUCGAGGAGGUGCGCCUGAGGCCCAUCCUCAUGUCGACCAAGAAGAAGAGCUUGGUGACCGAAGGCGUGAUAGAAGUGAAGCACGCGGGCAGAUGGAGGCAGGUCUGCGAUAUGGGCUGGAGUUUGAACAGCAGCAGAGUGGUGUGCGGGAUGCUCGGCUUUCCUGACGCCGCGCAGCCCGUCCUCAAAAUGUACAAGAAAAUAUGGGACACCAAGGUGGCAGAUCCUUCAACAAGGCUGAGCCUCAUGGCCAAGAAGAAGGGCUUUUGGGUCGAGAAGGUCAACUGUCUGGGCACUGAGAACACCUUGUCCGAGUGCCACGGUCAGCUGUCAAUCCCCCGUAGCCCAGCCCCCUGUAAGAACGGGCGGCACGCUGUGGUCAAAUGUGUUCCGGGCCCUCAGUUUUCCAGGAUUUCCUCGGGAAGACCUCAAGCCCCGUACCCAGUUGUGCCGGUGCGUCUGAAGGCCGGGCCCAGGCUUGGCGAGGGUCGCGUGGAGGUACUCCGAGACGGAAAAUGGGGGACGAUCGUGGACCACAUGUGGGAGAGGACCGCGGCCAGCGUGGUGUGCAGAGAGCUGGGCUUCGGUACAGCCAAGGAUGCGCUGCAAGGCGCCUAUAUGGGUCAAGGUACUGGACCCAUCCACAUGAACAGCGUGCAGUGCACGGGGACGGAGCGCUCCAUUCUCGACUGCUUCUUCCAGGAGGUUCAACCGUGGACGUUCAAACACAGCCAAGAUGCUUCAGUGCGCUGUAACAUCCCUAAAACCGGCACCGAGUACACAGUGCGUCUAGCUGGUGGCAGGGUUCCCUCAGAGGGCCGAGUGGAGGUGCUGAUGGAAGUGGGCGGCCGGAAGCGUUGGGGUUCGGUCUGCAGUGAGAACUGGGGUAUCAACGAGGCCAUGGUGGUGUGCAGACAGCUGGGUCUGGGAUUUGCUGCGAGUGCACAUCAGGACACCUGGUACUGGUCCAGCGACCCAAAUGCAGCCGAGUUGAUCCUCAGCGGAACUCACUGCGUCGGCACCGAGUUCUCAAUUCAGCAGUGUCGCCGUAACAACCACAUGCACUGUCCACGAGGGGGGGGACCUAAGGCGGCCGGGGUCACCUGCUCAGAGACGGCUCCCGACCUCGUUCUGGAUGCCCAGUUAGUCCAGGAUACGGCCUACCUGGAAGACCGGCCGCUCCACUUGCUGAGCUGUGCCAAUGAGGAGAACUGUCUGUCCUCCUCCGCCGCCCGGAUGAACUGGCCCUACGGCCACAGACGCCUGCUGCGCUUCUCUUCGCGCAUCAUGAACCUGGGACGCUCCGAUUUUCGACCCAAAGCGACGAGGGAGAGCUGGACGUGGCACCAGUGUCACAGGCAUUACCACAGCAUUGAGGUGUUCACACAUUACGACCUGCUGACACUCAAUGGCACCAGGGUUGCAGAGGGACAUAAGGCCAGUUUCUGUCUGGAGGACACCUUUUGCCCCGACGGUGCUCAAAAGCGCUUUUCCUGUUACAACAUGGGUGAUCAGGGUAUCUCUGUGGGUUGCUGGGAUACAUACCGGCACGAUAUUGACUGUCAGUGGGUUGAUGUGACGGACGUGCGGCCUGGAGAUUACAUCUUUCAGUCCAUCAGGUCUGCGGUCACCAGAGUAAAACACAUCAAGGACUUCAGCUCGUCAUUAUCCUCCAUCUCGCUCGCACAGAUUUACCCAUCCCGCACAUUUUACGCAGCCGUCUGCAGCUUGUCAAUGGCCUCACAUGUGGGAACUCUUGGGUGGAAGUCAACCCCUCGAUGGACAUGGCCGAGUCGGACUUCAUGAACAACGUCAUGCGGUGUCGCUGCAAGUACGACGGCCACAGAGCUUUUAUGUACGGAUGUCAUGCAGGAGACGCAUACAGUGCAGAGACCGAAGACCUAUUCGAGCACCAGAGGCAAAUAACAAACAACUUUGUGUAGAGAAUUCUGACACAAAAGCCUUCUGGACGCUCCUCGAAGUGGGCAGAGGCUGGUGGCUCCAAGGCCCUCGGGAAGCUUAGCACCCACAACAACAAAGAACAGCAAUUUGCUUGGCAGCGGAUCAAAUGUCACACAAAUGAGACUCAACUAGACCGGCCAACGACAACAGCGGCACACGCAGCUUUUGGCGAGCAUUACUCUAGUUAAGUAUGUUAAUACCACAUACUCAUUUAUUUAAAAAAAAAAAAAAAAGGUCAAUGUGGACUACUACGAUGUUUCAAAACAUAAAAACACAUGGAAUAUUAUUGAAUCUCUCGUUAAGACAGUGGAGGAGUACUUGGUAAAGCUUAUACCAAUCUGAUAUUUAUAUAAAAUUGUUGUUCUUUCAGCUGCAAAUCAAUCAGGAGGCAUUGUAGAAACACUUAUUGGAUCAGCUGUUCUUAUGAAAAAGUGCUUUGGAAUUUUAGGUCAAUAUAACAAACCAUGCUGGACUGUCCAACUUAUUUUUUUAUUUUAUUAUUUUACAGUGAAUUAGGUCAUUUCUGAUUUAUUUCCUUGGCUAUUACAAAAACAAUUGUUAUAAUCUCAACCAUGUGACAAGAUUUAGUAAUAGGUUUAUGUAACAAAGCACUUUAUCUUUUUUACAACGGUAUUCUUGGAAUCUUCAAUUAGCUAUCGACCUAUUCAGAAUAUACAGUAUAUGCUUUAUAGUUUUUUAUUUUUAUUUUAAACAUUUAUUACAGUGAAAUAUAAGGUUGGUGUUUUCAUAUGCACAUGUACUAUUUAUACUGAUAUUUAAUUUAUUCAUAGGGUUCACACAACAUAUUCAAUAAGAGGUUUGUUGUCUAGAGUUGUUCUUUUUCCAUUUUUCCUUUCCAUCGUAGCUUGGGGACAUUUUACAAGAUACAGAUGAAUUAUUCUAUUUUCAAUGUGGUUAUUAAAAUGCAACUGUAAGGAUUUUCUCUCCCAGAUUUUUGGAUGGGAGGGAACACCAGUGUGACAACCACAUGUUGGUGGCAGGCAUGCCAGCAGGCUUUGAGAGUAUAUAUAAAUAUAUGUUAAAAAAAAAAAAAAAGAAGCCUUUUAAUUAUGUCUGUUUGGGUUAGUUUUAAGGUUAGGGUUAAGACUAUAUAGUGUGUACUUUUAUGCACACUGGAACCGCUGCCUAUAGAAUUAUAGAAAGACUGCUUUUUUGUAAAUGUCUCAUGCAAGACAACAAGCUGAAAGAUUUGAUUUAGAGGGAGAUGAUUAAGUUUUUAGAAAUAUACUGGCAGAUAUACACUUUUUAUUACCAGAGUAGCCUUUUCGAAGGCAGGCCACAAACUGACACUGAUACUCACCAAUAAGAGAAUAACAUGCUUUCCUGAGAGACAAACAUUGACAUGGUCAACAGGUUUCUUAUUUUUGUGAACAUCUGCCGAGCUAAACCAUCACUAAACUCACUUUCCGUUUUUGCUGAUCUUUUAUUAGGGAUACACUGAAAAAAAAAAAGUUUUAAUUUUACAAUUGUUUUUAAAAAUCCUAGUAAUAUGAGAAAAGACAAUUUUGUGAGGAAAGUUAUUUUUUCAAGAAAAAAAAAAAGUAAAUUGUAAGAAAAUAAAAUUUAUUUCUUGGGAUAAAGGUGAAAUUUUACAAAAGAUACUACAAUGAGAAUCGAACAGUAAUAUUAGUCAAGUUUUUAUAAAACCGUUAUUUUACAAGGAGAAAGUCCUAAUAUUUGAAGAAAAAAAAGAAUAAUUUUACAAGAGUAGUCAUGUCAUUUAAGAGAAUAUAAUCUGUUUCUGUUAAUCUGUUUUACAAAACAAGUCAUAGUUUUUAGAAAAUUCAGUCGUAAGACUAUGAGGGGAAAAAUUUUAUUGAUUUUCCAAGACUAUAGUAACAAUAUUAUGAGAGCAUUUUUCUCGACUAAAGAUGCAAUUUUGCGAGGAAAAAAGAUAAAAAUUGCAACAUUGUGAGAAAAAGUCAAAAUUAUACAAGAAAAAUCAUUACAAAAUUAAGUUUAAAAUUUUUUUAUUUAUAUAAAAAGGUGUAAUAUGAGGCGGCACGGUGAUCGACUGGUGAGAGCAUUUGCCUCACAGUUCUGAGGACCGGGGUUCAAAUCCCGCCCCGCCUGUGUGGAGUUUGCAUGUUCUCCCCGUGCCUGCGUGGGUUUUCUCUGGGCACUCCGGUUUCCUCCCACAUCCCAAAAACGUAUGUUAACUGCAGACGCUAAAUUGCCUGUCGGCAUGAAUGCGAGUGAGAAUUGUUAUUUGUUUAUAUGUGCCCUGUGAUUGGCUGGCAACCGGUUCAGGGUGUACCCCGCCUCCUGCCCGAUGAUAGAUGGGAUUGGCUCCAACACUCCCGCAACCCUUGUGAGGAUAAGCGGCUCAGAAAAUGAAUGGAUGGUGUAAUAUGAGAAAAGUCAUCAUUUUACAGAACAAAAUUUUUUUUUUAAAGAAAAAAGACACUAUUAUGAAAAUAAAAUUGGUUGCUGCUUUCAGAUUGUCAUGUUUAGGUUCAUGACAUGACAUUCACACAUUAAAACUACUGACUUUUUUUCUUGAAAAUACACAACUCAUUUCUUGUAAUGCUUCAAUAUUUUUGUUCGUUUCAGCGUGGCCCUAAUACCAGUUUUUACUCUUAAGCCUUAACAGUCAUUCAACUGCGUUUUAUUUGCAUAAUAGAAUGUUUUUGUUGUGUUUAGCUUAUUGCAUAUUAACCGUGGAACUUGUUCUAAGCAAUAUUUUCACGAGGAAAUUGUAUGACAUAAAAAUCCAUUGUCAAACUACAAAUAGAACAAAGAUAUAAACAAAACACGUAUUCUCAUUCCAAUACUUUUCAUACAAAAUCCUACUAAUUUCUUACAAAAGCUGGCUUUAUUAGGACUCAUACUAUAAACUGAACUAAUUUACUUUUGGUCAAUUUAAUUUUGUAUUAGUUUUCUAAAAUAGCCUUUAAUUUGCUUGCAUUUCAAAAUCAACAGCAUUACACCAAAUAUAAAAAAAAUAGCAGACUUGAAAGGAGUGUUGGCUGUCGCUUUGCGGUUAUGUACAAUUGCCAUGUUUAUAGUCUAUGUGUUAUUUAAAAUUGUAUGCAGUUCCGUAGAGACCGUGGGUUAAUGUUCUCCAUAUUACUCUAUGUGCCCCUCCUAUAAUUGUAGCAUGCCUAUGGCCAGUGAGAGUGUGAGCCACACGGUGCUUCUUUAUAAUCUUAUUCAUCGAAAGCUGAGCUCUCAGGGACUUAGACCUCAUUUAACAUGUGUCCAUGUGGUUGGUUGCUUUUUGCUGUGAUGCACACACACACAAUUCUCCCCAUCUGUACCCUGCCUUUUAUUUCUCUGGUACAAAUGUAUGGAAGUGAUCAUUGCCAUUGUGCUUGAAAAAAAUGGGGGAUUAAUGUGGAAAAACACUGGCUGAGUCAUUUCAAAUCAUGACUGUGAAUCAAUAAAAUUUCAUUGUCA